ensembl:lncRNA
AUGACAUCCAUGGAGCCUCAUGAUUUUGGAAAUCUUGCUCUACAUUAAAAAUAAUUAUAGCAUUUCAUGUAUCCUGCAUAUUUCUUCACCAUUCGGAUUAUGUACAGACAUAGAACGAGCAAUUAAACCAAGCUGAGAGGAAGAGCAACGUGGGCUCUGUGUGUGGGAUGGUUUCCAGGUGGGAUAGCUUUCAUAAGUGCCUUAAAAAACAUUCUGCCACAUGGCUCUUUAGAGGCCUCCCCACAGAAGCAGCUCAAUUAUUCAUUCAGAGCAGAAACUGUUUUAUUACAUGUCUUGUAGUUCGAAUGGUUAGACUGAAAUGUGGGACACUCUGCUCUCAACAAGGUUCUGGUACUUGCAUUUGUACUUGCACUUGUCCUGCAGAGCGGUAAAAGAGUUGCCAACACCAGCUGGGAGAUUGGAAUAUCAUUAGCACAUAUUUUGUGUUGUAUCUUCAAGGUUAGUACAAAUCACAAAACCUCUGCAGCUGAAAGAGAGAAAAAGAGCACAGCUCUGGAAUGAAACUUAUUUUUCAAAUCAAGCUGGACAAAUUUUAAGAUAUGAUUGAAUAUUUUCCUUUGGCCCAGGGGAAGAUUGCUGCUGUAUUACACCGUCCUGCAGAAUAACAUCCUCUCAGAGACUUGCUCCUCAUCAUUGCUUGAAGUGCUUUUCCUGACCCCAAAUGUGCGUAUUCUCCUUUCAGACCUUCUAUGUGCACUGGGCAGCUGGGACAGGAGGUGCAAAGCUGGGACACUGCCCAGUUCGCCCACGGGCUCCCUCUGCCACCUCUCCCACCUGGGACAUACCAAGGACCUGCACCCACCACAACUGCAUCCAGCAGUGUGAGUUCCCCUCCGGAUGCCACUGUGGUUGUAUCCAGCUUUUCUUCAGGAGUGCUUGGCUCUGGUGCUGUCUGUGCUGGCAGAAGACGGGGCUAUUCCCAGUGAUUUCCUUUGCUUAAACUAUCCAGCUUUUUCUUUCUUCACGAGAAGUUGCAUUGCCGGAGUCAGACGGUGGAUGCUGCAGAACUUUUUUAAAGAACUACACAACAAGAUCAGCAAUGCGAGUUUAGGAGCAACCAGGCACGAAAGAGACCUUCCCAGAGCUAUGUACCGCUGCACGUCCGCGUGUACUACGCAGCUGGGAACUCCUGCCCAACUUCCUGACGAAAAACCUCCAGGUUUUAAAGUCGAGCACUUACCGGAGUGCUUUCUACGAGGUGUUUCAUCUAUAAUCCUGGAUCACAGUAUAUCACCAAGGAUACAUCAUGGAUCAUACUAUAUCACCAAACCCUGAAAUGCAAUUACCAUUGGAGCUGAAUGUGGCAGCAAAUAUAAUGGCUAACACUACACAGUAUGUUAGACAAAUAGACACCAGUGGACAGCUAUAAGGGGCAAACAUUCACCUUGACUUUACUACGGCAAUUUGUUUUAUUUUCUAUUUCCUUAGCUCCUGCUGGCUUUUGCUUAGUUGCUCCUCAGACAAAUACCUCUUCAGAAGUUGAAGCUGAUAAGAGCACAACUAACUAAAAGUAAAAUUUGAGUUAGGGCUUCGAUUUUGUCCAUGUGAAAUGUGUAUUGAGGUAAGUUUUGCUUAGGUUACCCAAGUGUUCAUUAUCCAUAUAAAGUAGCAUGUUCUAGUAUGCCUGGACUAGCCGCCCAUAUUUACUUGUAGCAGAACGUGACCUUAAUUCAGUUCUUACAGAAACCAGCGGGCCAGAAGCGAUCGGUUCUGCAUGUCGUUUAAGAGACACUGUUAUGCCACCUGGUUCCCCUGCAGACUGACAUUUUGCUGACCCUUGCCUAAAUCUAGGGAAUACCCCUCUGUCACCAGAAUCAUGGUUUCAAACUCCUUUUCUUUGACUCUCACUGGUGUGCCCUUGCAGCACCUCGCCGUCCCUGGUUCCCCACGUAGUCCAUUGCACCCAGGACAGCAAAGGCCGCAGCACCCCUCUUCAUAAAUACAGAUCCUGUCUCCAGCUGCUCUGUGACGAUUCGGCAACCAAAGCGCUUCCCUGCAGGGCACAGAAACCUCUUGCCACAGUUUUUAUUUGUGCUCGUGGUUAGGUGACUCUGGUCACCGUUAGGGGUUUCUGCAUCGUUCGGAGAGCUUUGGGCGGUGCGGGGGUACAGCAGCUUCGUGCAGUCUCUGGCAGGAUCAGACCAAAAUCUGUUUUACCAGGAUCCUUGAUCCUAAGUAUAUGGAUUUCCCCUCAGCUGUGUUUAUCCUUAGAUACAGAAGCAGAUACAUUUUUGUGGCUUGCUAAUACUCUCUCAUCCACUUCAAAGACCCAUUU